CCUCUCCCCACACCACAUUGUGUGUUAGCAUCCACAUAUCAGAGAGGACUUUUGGCCUUUGGUUUUUGGGGAUUGGCUUCUUUAACUUUGCAUAAUAGUCUCCAGUUCCAUCCAUUUACUAGCAAAUGCCAUAAUUUCAUUCUUUUUUAUAGCUAAGUAAUACUCCAUUAUAUACGUAUACCACAUUUUCUUUAUCCAUUCGUCUAUUGAAGGGCACCUAGGUUGGUUCCAUAGCUUAGCUAUUGUGAACUGAACUGCCACAAACUUCGAUGUAGCUGCAUCACUAUAGUUUGCUGCUCUAAGUCCUUUGGGUAUAUGCCAAGGACUGGGAUAGCUGGUCAAAUGGUGGUUCCAUUCCAAUUUUUCCCAUUUAGCUUUUUCUUAACUUUGAUGCUCCACCUUGGAUUCUUGGUGACUAGUGGGAAAAUCUCAAGAUAAUUGAUUUACAAUUUUUUUAUUAGAUCACACUGUAGUAAAGACCGGAAGAUCUCUUUAUUGUAACUUGGAUGUCACAGCCCUUAAGGAUAAACAAACCAUCCUGAAACCUCACUCAAGGCUCAAAUUACUGGGAACGCUAAUUCCCACCUAAGGCAAAGGGUACCCUCCAUCUCUGGGGCAGGUGCCCUAUUUAACGCUCUUUGCCUCUCAGGCAAAACAGCAGAUUUCCUUGCUCCUCAGCUGACUAAUAGCUCUCUCCAUGCAGCUUGCGUCUGAAGUUUGAGACCAGAAAAAAAAAAAAGCGUCACUUUUAAAUCCAAGCUGCCAUGGGACAUAAAUGACUGAUUUAUCUUUUCUUGCGCUCUGGGAUUCCACUCUCCAGUAAGUUUCUCCUUAAAUACUAGAAAAAGAAACAGACAAGAGAAGGGUAUAUAGAAAGGCUGACUGCACCAGGUCCCAGAACUUUU
rnacentral:lncRNA from 1 species